ACCAUUACAGGGAAAGCAACAUAGAUUUACUGAAAACAAUGAAUUUCUUACUUUAAUUGUUUCUUUGAUGCUGUAAUAGAAUUUCAUGGUCUUCCAAUAAAUGAUUAAAUGAUGGAAUAUGCAGAGGAGUAAAUAUUGCAGUUUACAUUUUAAAAUCAUCCCAAAUCACCUAACUUUAUCAGUUACACUUAAUGGAUUCAAAUAAGUAGUUUUGAGCAUAUCACCUUGGAGAUGAUAAUAGCACCUUCCUCUUUAGAAGCUCUCAAAUUACCUUAUAAAUAAGCCUUUAUCCUCAAAACUGUGAUGCAGAAAUGAAGUGCUGUAGUUAACAUCACAAUUUUAAAUUCACUGACUCUAAGUGAACUGCUUUAAUAUUCAUUUUCACUGUGAAUGAAAUAAUCUAGGGACUUGUCUCAUUAGCAUCUGUGCUGCUCUCAAAUUCAUAUAGGGACCUAGAAACUAUUUUUUAAAGUACACCAAGUUUAUUUAUUUUUAUAUGAAGUCUAUCUACCUAGGAAAACUGGAAUUUAGGGUUGUAUCUACAAUUUGUUUAAAGUUAAAAUUAUUAUAGGUGAGAUUUGAAAGUGUUGAAAAUAAGGGAUGACGAAAGGUUAUCCAUUCAUCAAUUUAUGUGUGGAGAUACUAAAAGUUUAAAUUUACAGUAUAAAAUCUACAGUUUGUAUAAUGAAAUAAAUCACUAUCUUGAUUGUAUAAUGAAAUAAAUUCCUAAUUUGCUCCAUGAUGUGAUAGAUGGUUUCUGCAUCUGUGAUCGAAUGCAGAGAAGCAAACACAUCUGUUUGGUCACAUGCCUGAAAUAAUGUCCAGAACAUGAAGUCAAACUGCUUUAAUUACCUCCUUAUGGGAGUGCCUGGCUGCUGGGAUGACUGGAAGGGGUGUGCAGGUUGGAGAAAGUCAUUCCUUCAGACUGGAGAGAAGACUGGCAAUAACACAGCAGACAAAUAAGAACCUUCAAUUUUCAAGAAACCAGUGCAGCACCGACUAGCCACUAUUGCUAUAAUCUUCACUUCCGUUUUGUAAAAUGUCAUUUUUUAAAGAAAUAAAACAUGAGAUUGACUCUAAUCUUCUAGGCUUAUUAAUUUAAUUUCAGCAAAAGGUAAACGCUAACUGUUUUGCAAGAAUUUUUCACAGAUGAUUUCCAACAUGAGUCUUUAGGAGUUAAUUUUUACUAGCAAGUGAAACAGAAUUAAU
rnacentral:lncRNA from 1 species